CCUCCUUUGUCGAGAGUUGGUUGGGGGGUGUCCCCUCUUUAAAGGAUAAUGCGGUUUUUGGAAAGUUUCAAUACUUUUAGUUAACAUUAUCA
rnacentral:rRNA from 1 species